rnacentral:rRNA from 1 species
AGUCGAGCGGCAGCACAAGGGAGUUUACUUCUGAGGUGGCGAGCGGCGGACGGGUGAGUAAUGCCUAGGGAUCUGCCCAGUCGAGGGGGAUAACAGUUGGAAACGACUGCUAAUACCGCAUACGCCCUACGGGGGAAAGGAGGGGACCUUCGGGCCUUCCGCGAUUGGAUGAACCUAGGUGGGAUUAGCUAGUUGGUGAGGUAAUGGCUCACCAAGGCGACGAUCCCUAGCUGUUCUGAUAGGAUGAUCAGCCACACUGGGACUGAGACACGGCCCAGACUCCUACGGGAGGCAGCAGUGGGGAAUAUUGCACAAUGGGGGAAACCCUGAUGCAGCCAUGCCGCGUGUGUGAAGAAGGCCUUCGGGUUGUAAAGCACUUUCAGUAGGGAGGAAAGGGUAAGGUUUAAUACGCCUUAUCUGUGACGUUACCUACAGAAGAAGGACCGGCUAACUCCGUGCCAGCAGCCGCGGUAAUACGGAAGGUCCGAGCGUUAAUCGGAAUUACUGGGCGUAAAGCGUGCGCAAGCGGUUUGUUAAGCGAGAUGUGAAAGCCCUGGGCUCAACCUAGGAGUAGCAUUUCGAACUGGCUAACUAGAGUCUUGUAGAGGGGGGUAGAAUUCCAGGUGUAGCGGUGAAAUGCGUAGAGAUCUGGAGGAAUACCGGUGGCAAA